rnacentral:misc_RNA from 1 species
GAUGAAGAACGUAGCGAAAUGCGAUAAGUAAUGUGAAUUGCAGAAUUCAGUGAAUCAUCGAAUCUUUGAACGCAUAUUGCGCCCCCUGGUAUUCCGGGGGGCAUGCCUGUUCGAGCGUCAUUACAACCCUCAAGCUCUGCUUGGUAUUGGGCCCCGCCAGUUCUGGCGGGCCCUAAAGUCAGUGGCGGUGCCUUCCGGCUCCGAGCGUAGUAAUUCUUCUCGCUCUGGAGACCCGGUUGUGUGCUUGCCAACAACCCCCAAUUUUUUAAGGUUGACCUCGGAUCAGGUAGGGAUACCCGCUGAACUUAAGCAUAUCAAUAAGCGGAGGA